CCUACGGGAGGCAGCAGUGGGGAAUAUUGCACAAUGGGGGGAACCCUGAUGCAGCGACGCCGCGUGGGUGAUGAAGUAUUUCGGUAUGUUAAGCCCUAUCAGCAGGGAAGUAAAUUACGGUACCUGACUUAGAAGCCCCGGCUAACAACGUGCCAGCACCCGCGGCAAUACGUAGGGGGCAAGCGUUAUCCGGAUUUACUGGGUGUAAAGGGAGCGUAGACGGCUUGCCAAGUCUGUGGUGAAAGGCCGGGGCUCAACCCCGGGACUGCAUUGGAAACUGGCAUGCUGGAGUGCCGGAGGGGCAAGCGGAAUGCCUAGUGUAGCGGUGAAAUGCGUAGAUAUUAGGAGGAACACCGGUGGCGAAGGCGGCUUGCUGGACGGUAACUGACGUUGAGGCUCGAAAGCGUGGGGAGCAAACAGGAUUAGAUACCCUAGUAGUC
rnacentral:rRNA from 1 species